rnacentral:rRNA from 1 species
UACAGAGGGUGCGAGCGUUGUUCGGAAUUACUGGGCGUAAAGCGCGCGUAGGCGGUGUGUCACGUCGGCCGUGAAAACCUGCAGCUUAACUGUGGGCGUGCGGUCGAUACGGGCAUCACUGGAGUUCGGCAGGGGAGACUGGAAUUCCUGGUGUAGCGGUGAAAUGCGCAGAUAUCAGGAGGAACACCGGUGGUGUAGACGGCUUUCUGGACCGUAACUGACGCUGAGACACGAAAGCGUGGGUAGCAAACAGG